rnacentral:rRNA from 1 species
UACGGAGGGGGGCAAGCGUUGUCCGGAAUCAUUGGGCGUAAAGCGCGUGUAGGCGGCCAGGUAAGUCCGUUCUGAAAGCCCGGGGCUCAACCCCCGGGAGGCGGAUGGAUACUGCUUGGCUCGAGUCCGGAAGAGGCGAGUGGAAUUCCCGGUGUAGCGGUGAAAUGCGCAGAUAUCGGGAGGAACACCAAUGGCGAAGGCAGCUCGCUGGGACGGUACUGACGCUGAGACGCGAAAGCGUGGGGAGCAAACAGG